GACGAACGCUGGCGGCGUGCCUAAUACAUGCAAGUUGAGCGCUGAAGGUUGGUACUUGUACCGACUGGAUGAGCAGCGAACGGGUGAGUAACGCGUGGGGAAUCUGCCUUUGAGCGGGGGACAACAUUUGGAAACGAAUGCUAAUACCGCAUAAAAACUUUAAACACAAGUUUUAAGUUUGAAAGAUGCAAUUGCAUCACUCAAAGAUGAUCCCGCGUUGUAUUAGCUAGUUGGUGAGGUAAAGGCUCACCAAGGCGAUGAUACAUAGCCGACCUGAGAGGGUGAUCGGCCACAUUGGGACUGAGACACGGCCCAAACUCCUACGGGAGGCAGCAGUAGGGAAUCUUCGGCAAUGGACGAAAGUCUGACCGAGCAACGCCGCGUGAGUGAAGAAGGUUUUCGGAACGUAAAACUCUGUUGGUAGAGAAGAACGUUGGUGAGAGUGGAAAGCUCAUCAAGUGACGGUAACUACCCAGAAAGGGACGGCUAACUACGUG
rnacentral:rRNA from 1 species